GCUCUAAUUACCAGUUUAGCACAAACACAUGAUAAGCAAUAAGUGUUUUGUUCAUACUUCAUUUUUAGUUUUUACUUUACAUGGCUUAAUGAAAUCCUAUAAAUAUUUUUGAAUUGUUAAUACAUAAAAUAAUAAAUAUGAAGAGCUACAUUAUUGAAAAGUGUUUUAAGUUUAGUUCACUGUUGACAAAAAAAAAAAUUUAGUUCACUGAAUUUUUAAAAGAAAAAAGCAAAAACGUUAAUCACCCAUAAAAUUACAUUAAUGAAACGGGCCGGCCUUAGGAUAUUUUGGGCAUUUGGUUUUCAAAUUAAAAUUAGAAAGUAUAUAAUUCAACAUAACGGAUUAAAAUGAAUCAUUGUAAAGAGAUGCCCAAGAGGAAGAAGAUAUAGCCGUUUAGAGAGAGAGAUUGAUCUUGGCUUCAACGGGACGAUUUUGAAUCCGAAAUUGAAAUUAGAGUUUUGAAAAAAUUAAGAUCUCUCAUGGAUGAAGAAUCCGAUUUGCUGAUGUUUAAUGGUUUCUUUGAGAAAAAGCAGAGCAGAGACUUAGUUUAGUGUUCUUCGCGAAUGGGUUCUUCUCAGAGAAAUGCAUAUAUUGACAUAUACAUACAUUCAUAUGCACACAUACAUACAUUCAUAUGCAUACAUACAUUCAUACAUACAUACAUAUGCACACAUUAUACAUACAACAUACAUACAUUCUAAGAGGUCACAACAAGAUCAGUGGCUAUUGCCACUUCUAAUUGCGGUAGUCAGGCAGAUCAAGGUCAGAUGUUUGUGAAAGAGACAUCUUGUGACAACUGUACUACUGGGUGUGAUGACUCCACCAUCAAGUAUUCUCAUGGGAAAUCAUCAUCAUAUGGGGCUUCAGCUAGGUUGGUGAACGAUAGCUAAUUUUAGUAAAUCUUACAGUGUUGGUGCGUGUAAUUAGAUAAACUGCUGUCAGAUCAAGCCGUUCACCUUGUAGAAGGUUUGGAAUUAGAUAAACUGAACGAGAAGUUUUUACCAAUCAAAGACACUCAUCAGGUCUGUGUUCCAUAACAGCAUCUCAACAGGCAAUUCACCUUUUCAGGCAACACUACCUCUAAACUUUUUCCCUUACGAUCUCUAUUAUUUACCCUUUAUAUGUACUUUCAAGAGUUCUUGAGCCCAAACAGGUUCCAAUAACAGUCUUACUUACCGCUUCCAUAGUAGGAUGCUCCUGGGGAUAAACUACAUCUCCCUCAGAUCAAAUCAGGAACUAACAUUAGAAACACUCCUACAUAGUCACAGACUAGUUUCUGAAAAUAACAGGUCCAUCUCGGAUGGAACUUUAAAAUGGCAGAGACACAACUAGAGUCCUUCAGCCAGUGUUCUCAUUCGAUUGAUUAUUUGGAGUAGCUUUGGAAACUUCAAAAACGGUCAAGCUUUAGGUAUCUGACAUUAUUCUAGAGAUGAACUAUAUUUGGAUAUGAGAAAAAGUACAAGCAAGAUCCACGAUAAGACUAUGUUCCACUUGUGGGAGCAGUUAUGAGAACUAAGUAUACGAACCAGAAAGUUAGGAGCUUAUAAGCUGAGUAUCCAAUGUUUCUGUACGACAAAGAUUAGUAUUCUUCUCUCCUUCUAUUACAAUCGUCACCAUGAAAGUUCUGUUACAUAUCGGCUAGAAUCCCUUGCAGGAAACAUGUUUGGCCUCAAAAGAUGCCAGGCCCUUUGAUUUGCUAAAAAAAGAAGCUCAUGUUAAGAUUAGAUACACUCUGAAUCCAUAUUCUAAAGACUUAUGAAGAGGAAUGGUUUUAUAUCCCAGUCGGUGGGUCCUUGCCAAACACUGAACAAAAGAAUCUCGCCGUUGGUCUGCAGCAAUUGAAGGAACCCUUUCCACUGCAGAAUUCUAGUGAAAAGAGUUAUUUUUUGCUCUGAUUGUGAUGAACAUAGUGGUUUUUGUACUCAUAUAUUAUAAUAUGAUCUUCCGAAUGUUUCAGAUACGUUUCGUGACGUAAAAGCAAACGGGAGACAAAGAAAGAGAAUUUAAUCCAAAAAGCUCAAGACAUGGGGAAGGAACGGACGGAGGAACUUAGCUUCAAACUACACUGGUGAUUGUAGUUUGUGAAAUGCCAAUAAUGGAAGAAGUGCAGCUUUUAAAAGGCAGAGUGGAGCUAAUCACAUAAUAAGAGGUCUUAGAAAUGCUUCGCCUGCUCCUAUCAAAGCAACAAUCGAGACAAUACCUUGUUCCAUAAAGGAGUCUAACCCUGUAAUUCCCCCAAGUGGAGUUAGAAACCGAAAUAUUACAGAAGAACACACUCCCUUCAAGUCUACAUCUUCGUCUGAUGAUCUUACUGAGCUGAAGAAGCCUAAAGCAACUGAAAAUGAACCUUAUCAGAUUUUUUUGUGCGAAUCAAUAUCCAAGAAAGAAAUUGCAGUGAAGAAGAGCGCAAAUUGUUUGCAGUUUGGUGUUAUACAAAGUUUUGAAUUCUCUGUACUUUUGGUUUGUUUUUUAUGUUAUAUAGAUUGAUUAGAUCUAAACUGUGAUUUAAUUUGCCAGGAUGCAGCUAAUAUUGUUUUGAAUAAACCUCAUGGUAUGGCUGUUCAAGGAGGAACUGGGGUCAAAGCCAGUAUUGAUGAACUAUAUGCUGCCACUUGCUUGACUUUUGAUAAAUCAGAAUCUCCUCAGCUGUAGGUGCACAGACUUGACAGAGACUGUAGUGGACUUUUGGUGUUGGGAAGAACACAAACGGCUGCAACGCCUUUUCAUUGUAUAUUCCUCGAGAAAACAACUGGUUAGUGUCGCAUAUGUAAAACCUCUCCAGCAUGCUAUCACUGAAUACCGAGUGAUUGAAUUUUCACCACUUGGUAUGCUUCAUCGUCCCUCAAUGAACAGGGACUAACAUAGAGUGAUGGCUUGUCAUAGGUGAAGAACCUGUGAUGGCUCAAUGAACAGGGACUACACCGUCCUCUUUCCUUUGGUGUCUCAAGGAGUCUUGGUAUCUUCUCUCAGUUUCUGUUGCAGUGAAUUCAAGUCCCAUCUCAGAAUUAUAGUUGGAGCAAUCAAAUUUCUUUUCAAUUUCCUAGUUCACAGAAAUGCGAAAUGAUGGUUAUUAGAAGUAUCAGAGUCAAAAUUCCUCUGGAAAUCAGCACAGAAGAAAGUCGUAGAAUCAUUACAGAUUCUGUCAAGAGAUUGAAUUUAUAACUUAGCUCUUGAGGAGGUGUGUGACGUGUGUCUCGUAUCUUAGCUCGAAAGUUGGGAGCAUAACAGAAGCUCCUGAUGGCCUUAGGUUUAUUUCCUGUGAAAAAAACACCAUUGUUCCGUGCAGGUACGAGAGUGGAAUCAGUGAUAUGGUACUAUUGCCUUAGUAAGAACGUUUCCUGACCUUUGUGGCAAAUGCUUGCCACUGUUUCUUCUGGAGAAGCUCUUGCCGUACGAAGUUGGAAGACGUAGAGUGUCCCUGUUCAAGCUGCAUAUGGCUAGAGGUGGAGGUAUAGUAUGAAUCUUUUGAGACUGUUCUGUUUGAAAACUUCAAGUGGAAGACAGUCCGUAUGAUCCAGAGCAGAUGGUUUGCAUGAAUUACGGAGAGUAUGCGAACCAGAAAGUUAGGAGCUUAGAAGCUGAGUAUCCAACGUUUCUGUACGCCAUGCCUAUGACAAAGACAAAAGUGUUAUUUGAGGAGACAUGUCUACCCUCAAAAGAUGUCAUCAUGCCCAUUGAUUUGCUAAAAACGAAGCUCAUGUUAAGAGUCGGUGGUUCCUUGCCAAAAGAAUCUCGCCUUUGGUGCUGCAGCUAGCAUGGUACAUCCAUCCCACAACAGGCUAUUCAGUUGUGAGAUCUUUGUCUAAAACUCCAUAAUACGCAUAUCAGUCAUCGCGGGUAUACUUACUUUCGUCACCAAACACAUCAACAGAAUGGUCAGAUACUCCGCCCAGGUGAUGUGUUGGCUCUGCCAAGAAACCUGCACCAAAACUCAUGAAAAAAUAUUACAUUUACCAAACCGGAUAAGAGAGUUGGGAGUGCAAGAAGCUUCACCAUUCAGGUAUUCAGCCUCGUUCUUUUUGUCCAGUCUUACAUUUUUCCCCUAUGAUUCGCAAGAAGAACGUAUCUUCGCUAUCCACAGAAAGUGUGAUCGUUGUGAUUUCAGAAAACCUUGCAUACGUUCAUGCAUACAUGCAUACGUUCAUGCAUACAUGCAUCAUUACAUGCAUACAUACAUGCAUACAUGCGUACAUAACAUACAUACAUUCAUAUAUCUUUGCUUUUGGUCCACGUGAUUGUUGCGAUUUCGAAACAUAAUGCAUAUAUUCAUGCAUAUCUGCAUCAUUACUACAUCCAUAAAUCAUAUAUAUUUGAUUCCUUGAUGCACAUAAAGUUUGAUUAUUGUGAUAGGGGAACACAUUGUAUACAUUCAUUCGUUCAUGCAUAUUUGAUUCCUUGAUUUCUUGUCUUGUUCAUUUGUUUCAACGGUGCUUCUUUUCUUACUUCCUUGAUUGCUUCCUUACAUGGUCAACUUGUUUACUUCCUUCUUUGAUUCAUAUGCUUUGUUCAUUACGUGUUUCUCUACUUAGUGAUUUGUUGCGUCCUUGAUUUUAUGUUUAGAUCAUUGCUUGCUCUACUUCUUUUUUUUUGGGGUAAAAAUCAUUUUCUAUUUCUCCUUAUUUGCUUUGUUUGCUUCUUUAGUCGCUUCUUUUCAAUGCUUACUUUCUUUGUUUUUUUUUUUUUUUUUUGCUUCCUUUGUUCUUGAACUAAUUUUUAUAUACGGCUCUCGAAUUAUUAAUUAUUAAUUUAUCUUUUAUUUUUUAAAUAUAAAUUUGUUAUUAAUUUAUCAUUACUAUCGUACAACUUAUGUAAGUUUAGUUUAUAUGUAUGCAAAUUACGUUUUAUAACUCUAAUAUGUAAGUUUAGUUUAUAUGUAUGCAAAUUACGUUUCAAAUUAAUAUUUUAUUUUUAAUUUAAAUAUUUUUAUAAGUUAUAUUUAUAAUUUAUAUGUAUAUUUUAUAUUAAUAAUAUUUUAUUUUUGAAUUAGAAAUGUGAUUUUGUAUAUGUAAUAUCUAGUAGGUUUAAUUACCACUUGAGUAUAUUAGAUUGCAUCUACUUCUUUGAAUUCAACCAUAACAUUUUGUAAAUAUAUUAACAUUUUGAUAUUUUUUUUAAUUUUACAUUUAGGUUGGUUGUUCAGAGUAAAUAUAUAAAUAUAUUUUAGUGAGAUUUGGUAUAACAUAAUGUAUUUUUAUUUUGAGAAUCAAAUAGGGAAAAUAAACUAAAUUGUGGAUUGAUUAAAAAUUACAUAAAAUAAUAUAAAGAUAAAAUUUAUUUAUGAUUAAAUUUAUUCGGCAAGCAAUUGAAAACAAUCCAAAAAUUAUUUAUUAUUUUUAUAUCAUAAACAAAAAAACAGCAUGAUUAUUAUAGACAAGGCUUAAUAAAUAUAGUUAUAUUACUACCACUGUAUAUAUGUAAGUAAUUACUUCUAAUCAGAACCGGAAUAUUUAAUAAAUAAAAAUAUCUAAAAUUAAUGAUAAAAUAUAAUAGAUGCUUAAUAUAUAAUAAGUAAACUAAUAUAAUAAUAAAAUCGAAAUUUUGAAGGUUAUAAUUUAUUUAUCUUAAAAUCAUAAUUGUUUCAGAUAACAUGAUGCUUGGUUUUCAAAUACAAUAACAUUUAAUAAUUCAAACAUACAUCUAGAUUUGUAAUUAGUAACAAUCAAUAGACCUUUCCAUGUUACACAAAUAAUUAAAAGUAAAUUUAGUCAUAAUAAAUCGGCUAUUUUCCAUAUCAUCAAUUUUAAAAUAUCUAAGAAAAAAAAGAGAAAUAACCAAUGUUUUAUGUAUUAACCCUAAUAAAACUAUUCUAUUUAUUAUCCAAGUAGGAAAAAUAUUAAAAAUUAAGUAAAACAAUUAUAUUUUCCAAUUUUAUUAGUGAAACAAAUAUAUGAUAUAUAAGGGAUAUAAUAAAACAAAUAGUGCAGUAUGAGUCUAUAUAAGUUGAUGACAAAAAAACAAUUAGUGAAAA